rnacentral:misc_RNA from 1 species
GAUGAAGAACGCAGCGAAAUGCGAUAAGUAAUGUGAAUUGCAGAAUUCAGUGAAUCAUCGAAUCUUUGAACGCACAUUGCGCCCGCCAGUAUUCUGGCGGGCAUGCCUGUUCGAGCGUCAUUUCAACCAUCAAGCCCCCGGCUUGUGUUGGGGACCUGCGGCUGCCGCAGGCCCUGAAAAGCAGUGGCGAGCUCGCUGUCACACCGAGCGUAGUAGCAUACAUCUCGCUCUGGGCGUGCUGCGGGUUCCGGCCGUUAAACCACCUUCAUAACCCAAGGUUGACCUCGGAUCAGGUAGGAAGACCCGCUGAACUUAAGCAUAUCAAUAAGCGGAGGA